GACCGUGUGCCCGAGCGGCUCAGGGGCCGGCCUGCAAAGCCGGUUACGCGGGUUCGAACCCCGCCACGGUCUCCA
rnacentral:tRNA from 3 species